AAUAAUGUGAGUUUCCCGUUUUGCCCCUUAUCGCGUCGCGCGCGGACGCCUCGUUCCAACUCGCUACCUCUCUCACGGAUACGCUCCUCGCUCCUGCUCUCCUCCCUUCGCUCCUCCAGGUCGCCGCGGCCACCUCCGGCGUCGUCUUCCUCUCGCGCCACAGCGCCGCCGGCAUCUUCCUAAACUUUCCCCAGCGCCAUCUCGCUCCCCGCCACCCUGCAUCCUCUCGGAUCUCGCCUGCAACGACGCAAAUGCUCGGAGGUCAAAGAUCGCAUUUUCACGAGCCGGCGACGAGCUGCUGGGAGAGGACGCGCUAGAUUUGCGUGCGCGAUUUGCUGCUGGAAAAGGGGGCGCUGGAUCUGCGUGCUCCGGCGACGAUUUGGCUGGGUUCGCCGAUCACCGUGAGAGAUGGCUGGGUUUGCGGAUCACCGUGAGAGAUGGCGGUCUGGAUUGCUCAUGCCACCGCCGGUGGCCACCGACGUCGGCCGCUCCCAAUCCUCCACGGACGGUUGCUACUCUUGCUCCACUCUCCCCGCCUCCGCCUCGAUUGACUUCGGGAUGUUUGAUAAGCACGGGUUCAUCUCCCCCAUUGGGGAAUCUGCGCCUGCUGCCACUGGGGAACCGUCCUCCUCGCGCAGGACGGCGACUCCUUCGAUAAGAUUGCGCCGCCAGGAGAAGGUACUGCUGCUGCCAAUGCUACUAGCCCUGGCGCCACUCCUAUCCCUACCCCGUACUAGUCUGCUCAUUCGGCUGCCGUGACGAAGCCUGAGCCUUCUUCCACAAGCAAACGGCGGCGUGAAGCCCAAGUGCACAACCUCUCGGAGAUGAGGAGGAGGGACAGGAUCAACGAGAAGAUGAGGGCUCUGCAAGAACUCAUUCCCCACUGCAACAAAGGCCGGAGGAGAAGAGCACAACCACAACGAUCUGCGUAGGGCUGGAGGAGAAGAACACAUCGAAGUAGCAAAGAUUGGUAUCUCGGAGAGAUACCGAAAACAUCGAUCCAUCAACCACGCCGGAGGAGCCGUCCGUGUGAUGAAUUCGGGGAGACGGAAUGGCGCAGAAGUCAUCCGAUUUGGCCCAGAGAACUCACAUCCAUGGCCGUCCACAAGGUCUGCAGCCACGGGCGUAUCAAGCUGAGGAGGUGCAGUGACGGUGUGGCCUGGAUGCCCAAUGGAGCUCGUGAAGCAACUGACCAUUCUUCGUGGAGGCCGCGUUGGAGGCGGGAGCAGCAACACGCGGAAAAGCGGGCGACAACCCAGACAUGGUCUCGAGCACCAUCUGCAUCAGCCGGGCAGAGGAAGGACGCUGGGCCAAUCAGCCCUCAUCGAGGAAAGCGCUGCACCAUCUCCCGUCCAACGGCAGAGUCGGACCUCCGACGGGCGAGAAUCCCAGCAGCAGCAGCAAGCCAGCAACUAAUGCAGCGGCGGGAGUAAAGCAGCUGGCGAGGAUGCGCAUCCAGCAUGGCCUCAUCGACACCCCGAAGCCCGGGAUCCUCGACGCAGCCGGCGGACACAGGAGGUGUUGAAAGAAUGGGUGGAACCGGGACUGAAGGCCGAGCGCCGGCGUUCUGGCAGCAGGCGUGGAGAGAUGGUGCGACGGGGCGCCCGGAUCCGGUCACGGCGACCGCAGAGAAGCUUGAAUGGAGGAUAUC